ACAAUAACCAGACCUUCAUUGUUACAAUUCCCACAUCAUUUAGUGUUUUUGAAGUGUCUUGUCCAAUUUUAACUUUCAAUUUCCAUACAAGCAUGUUGCUUCGCUUCCACUUGAGGUAUAUUAGAAGGUGUUGCAGCUUCAAUUGCUUGAAGUUUCCAGUUUCCUUUCAGUUUUUGGCAACCAACCUUUAUGUACAUUUGAAAACCGUCUAGGGUGAUGCAUUGGACCACUGGGCCCAUCUAUCUAUAUUCGUGCGUUUGUUAAUGUCUGGUAGGGCCCAUCUAUGUAUAUUUGUGCGUUUGUUAAUGUUGGGUAGGGCCCUUAUCUAAGGUCGUGGCUUUUUCCCUAAUUGACUAUGUUUUCCCCGAUUUUCUUCUUGCAACAUAUGUUAGUGUUCCUAUUUGUUGCAUUCUUUUUCACUUUUUCCGGUGUUGGUUUUGGAAUGUUAGUGCAGCAGGAAUUGCAUCUUGUUUUGCUCUAGAAACAUUCAUUCAUUCUGGUUAUACACCUCUUGGGCUUAUAGAACAAUCUUGGGUUAAACGUGAGUCACGACACCAUAUAGAUUGCACAUGGUACCUGCGCAUAUGCCUGAUACCUGCUGUUGUGCUUUACUUUAUUAGUGGGGCGAAGUGUAUUUGAAUCAUGCUUGCUGAAAAAGGACUCUCUCUCUCUCUCUCUCUCUCUCUCUCUCACA